AACCCCUACUACACUGUUGCUUUCACUGAGAUUUUGUCACGCUCACCCAUUGCCAUUGAAUGACCCUGUACUCGAACACACCUGUGUUGACAUGCCUGACUUCUCAGUGCUGUAACACAGCUGAGGAUGUCAAGGGUGCUGUCAAGGCCCAAAAACCUAGCUGUCCCUGCCAAGGGAGGAGGAGGGCAAAGUCUGCCUUGGCCACGGGUACAUUGUGUUCACUGUGUAAUGCUGGCUACAGUUGGAAUAUUGGUUUGACCAGGGUCAUUAUUUUUCAGCUGAUCACUGUUAGAAGAUAGCACUGCACAACAUGCCACUGUCUGUCUAUCUUACUGUUAGUGAAUGUCUAAAGCUGAAUCAGUUAAAUCAUGAAGGUACAGCAGCCAAAUUACAUUAUGAUCUGACAGGCUGUUCACACUUGGCCUGAUGAUCUCAUCCACUCAAGGAUAGCAGUUUUGAUAAAGGAUUUCCAUAUAAACUGAAGCAAGUCUUGUCUGGCGAUGCAGCAGGCAUGUAUCCGUUUUUCAAAUAUGCAGCACUUUUUCUAGAACCCCUAACUGUAAAUCAACCCUUGUAUCACAUUGAAGUUGGGGGAGUCUUUGUGUUUACACUGUAGAUGUCUGUGUUUAAUGGAUAUUAUAUCCUUCCUCACUUGCCCUCUGUUUUAGGAUCCUGAAUCUGGUGACCCGCCAAGGAGCGACAUGGGCGAACACACGUGGCUCUGUGGAGUGUGUUUUGGGUGGCCAUCGAGAAGACCCAAGGAGCAGAGGAUGACAUCAACACUGUUGCUGCCGGGACCAUGACAGGCAUGCUGUACAAGUCCACAGGUGAUGUACGUGGGGCAGCGCGAGGGGGCCUGGCGGACAGGUCUCUAUGCUCUGUACAACAACUGGGACCAUCUGAAGGGAAACCUUCCCACCUGCUACUGAGCCCUGCACUGCAGGAACACUGGAGGAUGAACCAGUCAACAUUUCCCAAAUUGAUCCUUAUUCCUUUGUAGACAUACCCCUUGACUUAUUCCACAUUUUGUUGUUACAGCCUGAAUUCAAACUGAAUUAAAUAAUGUUUUUUUUCUGAC